rnacentral:rRNA from 1 species
ACGGGUGAGUAACGCGUGGGAACGUGCCUUCUGGUUCGGAAUAACCCUGGGAAACUAGGGCUAAUACCGGAUACGCCCUUAUGGGGAAAGGUUUACUGCCGGAAGAUCGGCCCGCGUCUGAUUAGCUAGUUGGUGGGGUAACGGCCUACCAAGGCGACGAUCAGUAGCUGGUCUGAGAGGAUGAUCAGCCACACUGGGACUGAGACACGGCCCAGACUCCUACGGGAGGCAGCAGUGGGGAAUAUUGGACAAUGGGCGCAAGCCUGAUCCAGCCAUGCCGCGUGAGUGAUGAAGGCCUUAGGGUUGUAAAGCUCUUUUAUCCGGGACGAUAAUGACGGUACCGGAGGAAUAAGCCCCGGCUAACUUCGUGCCAGCAGCCGCGGUAAUACGAAGGGGGCUAGCGUUGUUCGGAAUUACUGGGCGUAAAGCGCACGUAGGCGGGUAUUUAAGUCAGGGGUGAAAUCCCGCAGCUCAACUGCGGAACUGCCUUUGAUACUGGGUAUCUUGAGUAUGGAAGAGGUAAGUGGAAUUGCGAGUGUAGAGGUGAAAUUCGUAGA